CUCUGCACGCAAGCUAGCACCUGAGGAUGAGCCUGCGGCCCAUCAGCUAGUUGGUAGGAUAACGGCCUACCAAGGUUAUGACGGGUAGCUGGUCUGAGAGGAUGAUCAGCCACACUGGUACUGAAACACGGGCCAGACUCCUACGGGAGGCAGCAGUGGGGAAUAUUGGACAGUGGGCGCAAGCCUGAUCCAGCGACGCCGCGUGGGUGAUGAAGGCCUUCGGGUUGUAAAGCCCUGUGGGGUGGAAAGAAAAAAGCGGGUUCGAAUAGGGCUCGCUAUUGACGGUACCACCUUAGGAAGCACCGGCUAACUCUGUGCCAGCAGCCGCGGUAAGACAGAGGGUGCGAACGUUGCUCGGAAUUACUGGGCGUAAAGCGCGUGUAGGCGGACUGGAAAGUCAGAUGUGAAAUCCCCGGGCUCAACUCGGGAAUUGCAUUUGAAACUCCCAGCCUAGAGUAGUGGAGAGGGAAGCGGAAUUCCUGGUGUAGAAGUGAAAUUCGUAGAUAUCAGGAGGAACACCGGUGGCGAAGGCGGCUUCCUGGACACUGACUGACGCUGAGACGCGAAAGCGUGGGGAGCAAACAGGAUUAGAU
rnacentral:rRNA from 1 species